AUCCCAUGAUGAAGACACUUACGAAGCAAUUCAUUGAAUCUUUCCCACGCCUUAGAUAAGAUUCGUCAUCCAAUUGUUGAAAACUAGUUAUCUCAUUUAGAAACUU
rfam:Gossypium raimondii Chr02_contig_603, whole genome shotgun sequence.